UAUUAAGGGAUAUGUAUCCCACAUUGGAAAAUCAAUGGGACAUUAAGUAAUAUAUAAAGGGUUAGGGCCAAUCCACUAAUUGCCAAUUGGUUUUGAGUUGGAAGCCCAUAAUAAACCCGAUUCUAACAUGGUAUCAGAGCCCAGAUCUUAAUAAGUUAAACCCCUAAUUAAUAUUAACCCUACCCGACCGGGUAUAUAGGUCGUAAUUGACUCGCUCGACCGAGUAUAACUGUCUUAAAGUUCCGAGAUUUCUGGCCGAUAAGAGCCAUCAUCUCGAGGAGGGGUAUUAAGGGAUAUGUAUUCUACAUUGGAAAAUCAAUGGGACAUUAAGUAAUAUAUAAAGGGUUAGGGCCAAUCCACUAAUUGCCAAUUGGUUUUGAGUUGGAAGCCCAUAAUAAACCCGAUUCUAACAC
rnacentral:lncRNA from 1 species